rnacentral:rRNA from 1 species
CGGGACGGGUGAGUAAUGUCUAGGGAAACUCCCUGAUGGAGGGGGAUAACUACUGGAAACGGUAGCUAAUACCGCAUAACGUCGCAAGACCAAAGAGGGGGACCUUCGGGCCUCUUGCCAUCGGAUGUGCCCAGAUGGGAUUAGCUAGUAGGUGGGGUAACGGCUCACCUAGGCGACGAUCCCUAGCUGGUCUGAGAGGAUGACCAGCCACACUGGAACUGAGACACGGUCCAG